rnacentral:rRNA from 1 species
GACGAACGCUGGCGGCGUGCUUAACACAUGCAAGUCGAACGGUGAAGGGACCAGCUUGCUGGUUCUGGAUGAGUGGCGAACGGGUGAGUAACACGUGAGUAACCUGCCCCCUUCUUCUGGAUAACUGCAUGAAAGUGUGGCUAAUACGGGAUAUUCUGGGUCUGUCGCAUGGCGGGCCCGGGAAAGAUAUUGCUUCGGUGGGGGAUGGGCUCGCGGCCUAUCAGCUUGUUGGUGGGGUGAUGGCCUACCAAGGCGGGGACGGGUAGCCGGCCUGAGAGGGUGGACGGUCACACUGGGGCUGAGACACGGCCCAGACUCCUACGGGAGGCAGCAGUGGGGAAUAUUGCACAAUGGGCGCAAGCCUGAUGCAGCGACGCCGCGUGAGGGAUGGAGGCCUUCGGGUUGUAAACCUCUUUCGCCAGUGAAGCAGGCCUGCUCCUUGUGGGUGGGUUGACGGUAGCUGGAUAAGAAGCGCCGGCUAACUACGUG